rnacentral:lncRNA from 1 species
UGGAUCAGGCGGAUCCCAAUCAAACCAAAAGAUCAAGCCGGUUUGCAUCAAUUGGCCAAACCGACAUCAUUUAAGGAAAGUCUUCAACCAAUUCAACUUGGUUCGACCCAGGGCUAUCUAUGGGAACCAGGAGAUACUCUAGACCAUUAAGAAGACAUCCAAGACGUCCUCAGCUGGACCAGCACCCAGGAGAUCAGGCGGAUCUCUCUUCCCAUCAACCUUCCAUAUUUGGCAACAUCUACACUAAAUGCUUUGGAGAAGUUUCUACAGAUUUUUGCCCAAGACCAACGGCCAUAUUCUCUUUUACUGAGGCCAAGGAGUAUUUUAGGAAGGCUUGAAGAUCAUGGCCACGUCCAGAAGCUAUCAAGAUACAAGUCUUCACAAGUUUCUCUUUUGGAAGGAAGCAAAUCAAGCCUAACGGCUAUAUUCCAUGGAGUCAUCAAAGCCUUUGCUCCCAAGACUUUAAGUUCAAGUUAUUUUGUUUCCUUUUAUCAUUUUAUGACUGUUAGAGUCUGUCCUUGUCGAGCCUAUAAAGCUCUAGUCUUUGCUUCAUUGUAAAUCACCCAUUUUUGAAAGUAAUAAGAAUUAUUCAGUUUUCUAGUUUUCUUAAAACUAUUGUUCUAAGUCUUUUGAGUUUGUGUGAAGCAGCUCCAAAGCACCUUGACUUAUCAAGGCUCCUUUCCAUAGAGUCUUGUGGCGUCCUCAAUCCCCCAUCCUUCCACUCCAAUUCGUUUGCCAAGCUUGAGAGAGACAUCAGUCCAGCAAGCAAAGCACCACCUCAAUCCACUUCAAUCAUAUUUUGAUCAAGCUGAGAGUGUUACACAACCAGCAGCUUGAUUCCAUCCUAUCUAUCUUUAUUUAUCUUGUUUUAUCAUAUUAGAAAUCAUAUCUCAUUUGUUUUUGCAUUUGUUUUCAGGUUCAUAACUCGCAUUCCAUCAUAUCGCCCAUCCGAUCAUCUCUUUGGUCGACCCAUCCAAGCUUCCAUCAUCCAUCUUGCCCACCCUGAAUCCCAGCCUGCAACAUUUGGUAUCAGAGCUUAAGCUCCUGAAUCAGGUCCAUUCUAUCCUUGCAUCAUUCAUCUUGUUUGCAUUUGUUUUUCCAUUUAUAAAUCAAAAAAAAAAAAAAACUGUUUUUGCAUUUUUGUGUUCUUUGUUCAUCAUAAAUUGAAAAGCCAUAAAGAGUUGAGAUAGGAGACGACCUGUUGUCUAGUUUGAUUCAUUUCAUCCAUAAAAAGAAAAGAAAAACGUGUUUGCAUUCAUUCCCCAGCUCCACUUUCCAUUUUUUGAUUUUGUGCAUUCAUUUCAAAAAAAAAAAAAAGAUCUGCAUUUUCACAGUUGUUUCUUGCUUAAAAAAAAUAAAUAAAAAGUCAUACCAUUUUUAAUUUCGUGCAUACCAUAUUUGUUUCAUAAGUUUGUUAUUUGCAUUCAAAAAAAAAAAAAUCAUUCAGCUUAGUUUAUAUCAUUUUGGGUUCAAGUAUACAUUUUAGUUUCCAUUUUCGGUGUUUUUGCAUUUCAUCUUAAGAAAAUUCAAAAAAAAAUCAGUGUUAGUUUAAUUUCCAUAUUUUCUGCCCAUUUUUGUUUCUUUUCAUACCAUAUUGUUUAAUUUCGAAAUUGCAUUCAGAAAACCAAAAGAAAAAUCAUUUUAGUAUAGUUACUUCAUUUCGGUUCAUAAUUGCAUAUUUUCUCGGUUUAGUUAAAUUGCAUUUGUUUUAUUUUGGUUAGACCAAAAGUUUCCAUACCUUCACUUUUUCUUUGAGAUUGUUUUCAGGAAGCAAUGGAGGAGGAGAGACACGGCCAAAACCUAAGGGCCACCUUGAGCCAACAGUCCGCAGCUCUACAAAAGCUCCAAAUUAAGAUUGCUCAAUUGGAGAAAAUAAAUCAGGCACAAGGCCAACGUCCACAUGAAGGAGAAAGGAGAUUUGGAAAUGUACCAGGGGCAGUCUACGUCGAACCCAAGCCACCAGAUCCUUCAAGGAUCAAUCAAACUCCAACUUCUAAAACCCACAACCCUUAUGUUGUUAAUUCUCGGUUUGAUUAUAACUCUUUUGCUGAUAAAGUUGAACUCUUUAAAUUUUCAGGAAAAAGAGGUUAUCUAAGAUGGGAGAGGAACCUUGAUGAAUGGUUUCACUACAACAACAUCCUGAGGAAAGAGAGGCUAGCUUAUGCCAUUGAUCAACUAAAAGAUGAUGCUUUUAAAUGGUGGGUACAAGAAGAGGAUGAUAGAUGGUUUUACAAGGAGCCAGCUAUCAAAACGUGGAGAGCUCUUAAGGAAGUCAUGAGGGAUAGAUUUGCACCAGAUUAUACAAGGUCUGAAAUCCAGGAACUAUAUCCAAGGAGAUAUCCAACUCAUGGUUCCAAAGAAGCAAGGAAAAUUGUGGAACAAGAAGUUCAAAGAGUCUUGCCUAAAGAAGCCAACUUUCAGCCAAACCAGGGGCACGCCAUUGUCCACUGCUUAGAGCAGGAGAGUGACAUCCCAAAGGUCAGGAAGAUGAGUACAAGUGUCGGCCAAAACACUUUGAUCAGGUCCAAAGACAAACCAGAGCAAGUUAUUGUCCAAGUAAAGGCUAAGGUAAGUCCUAUACAUGAUAAAUCUUUUCAUAAAUCAUCUACCACUUGUAUGAUGCACUUGUCUUUGUCCAAGAGUGUUAUUACAGGUCUAAAGGAGCCUAGGUACAUAGAAGAAGAGGCGCCAGGCACAAACCUUCCCAUGGACCAGAAGGAAGCUCAAAGCACAAAGCAAUCAAAGUUGCUUAAUAAACCAAAACCAGUGAUCCAAGUAUCAAACCAAGGUAAGUGUCUAACACCACCUUUAGAUACUGGUUUAAACAUUUAUAUUCUUGGUACAGGGAUACCAGAUGAGAGCCAUAUGCUUACUGGAGUUCCAAGUGCCGAACCAGAUCAUGAGCUCAAUCAAAAUCCACACCAUAAGUGGAAACCGAAAUCUGAACAAUGUACUGUUCAAGUGCCAAAAUCUGAGGUAAAAUUCACUUUAAACCAGAAUGUUUUUAUUGAUUCUAUGACAAGAUUAAUGCACUUGUCUUGUCCAAGGAAAAGUGAAAUUGGUACAGGAAAGCAAGGUUACUACAAGGCAAACAAAGAACAAGAAGUUCUUACUGCCACAUUUGACAUUAAGGUUAAUUGUUCUAUGUUUUCUUCAGUUUAUAAAUCCCUAUACUUUGGUAUAAUACACUUGUCUUCGCCAAGAUGUUUUGAUCCAGGGAUAAGUCAAGAAGAACAUAAAAACCGAGCUGAGCUAUCACAAGAAGAUGGUUAUACCAACCAAGGUAAACAUUUGCAAGAAAGGCAGCCAUCUAACCAAAUCUGUCCAAAGAAGAAUAUCAUUCUUCAUCAUGCUGAUGCACCCAAGGUAAAUUCGACCAUAACAAAUUCUGUUCAUGAAAUUCCAGUAUCAGAUAUAAUUCACAUGGUCUUUGUCCAAAAUGUUGAAAAAUUUUCAGGUUGCAAAGAAGAAAGCUUCAAAGAAAUCCCACCGGAUAAUCUUUUGUUGCUAGGAGGAUCAAACCCAAAGAUGGUCAGAACUGAGCCUGCUAGGAGUAUGAAGGACCAUCCACUGAAGAAGAGAAGGAAUGCAAAAUUCCAUAUCAGAGGCGUGAUCCUAUCCUAUUUGGUGAAAGAAGAGCCACCUGAUGAACAAUCCAUCCCCAAACCAAAACAAUAUCAAGGUAAGACCUUAGAAUCUGAAAAGAGUAUGAAAGCUGACUUGCUCUAUCUUGGUGCAGGUUAUACAGUUUCGAGGUCGAAACCUUUUCAAGGGGGAGGGAAUGUUGCGGCCAGCAAUUCAGCAGCUGAACCAGCGGUCGACCCAACACCCUACUCAACCAGCCAAGGCGCCAACCAGGACAUACGUGCACUAAAAUGCCAUAUAUUACAAACCAGGAGGGUUUAAAUCACGAGGAUAAUUUUUAUGGAUUCUACACUCAAGAAGGAGUCCAGACCAAUUGGAAUCUGCCCAAAAUAUUCAGGGAGCAAGAAGUUAUGAAAUUUUGGAAGGGGUUCUAAGUCAUUCAGAGGAACUCUACAAUAUUCAGGGACCAAUUGGAAGGGGUUCUAAGUCAUUCAGAGGAACUCUACAACAUCAUAGGAAGCACCAUGCCACACUGGAUCAGGCGGAUCCCAAUCAAACCAAAAGAUCAAGCCGGUUUGCAUCAAUUGGCCAAACCGACAUCAUUUAAGGAAAGUCUUCAACCAAUUCAACUUGGUUCGACCCAGGGCUAUCUAUGGGAACCAGGAGAUACUCUAGACCAUUCAGAAGACAUCCAAGACGUUCUCAGCUGGACCAGCACCCAGGAGAUCAGGCGGAUCUCUCUUCCCAUCAACCUUCCAUAUUUGGCAACAUCUACACUAAAUGCUUUGGAGAAGUUUCUACAGAUUUUUGCCCAAGACCAACGGCCAUAUUCUCUUUUACUGAGGCCAAGGAGUAUUUUAGGA